rnacentral:misc_RNA from 1 species
AAGUCGUAACAAGGUUUCCGUAGGUGAACCUGCGGAAGGAUCAUUAUCGAGGGGGGGCUAUGCCCCCCAAAGGAUGUAGGCCAGCUUGAAUUGUAGCCCGUUUGGCACAUACAGACGAUAAAAGACCCUGUUGAGUGUAGUGUGGCUCACGCCAUCUCUGCAGCUCAGGGCCUUCUACCUAGGAUGUGUCUGCUGCCUACUCGGUGGUAGUAUGCCCUAUUGUAGGACGUCUUUUUGGAGCAAACGUUACUUGGAUGGCUGGUAGCUACCAUUCUGUACCCCUGUCUAUGAGUACUCUUGUUUCCUCGGCAGGCUUGCCUGCCAUUGAGGACCCAUCAACCCUUUUUAUGUUGUGGUAAUCGUAACAAAACAAUAAUCAAAACUUUCAACAACGGAUCUCUUGGUUCUG